AUGGAGCUCAGGAAGGCUAUCUGCAACAAGCUUCAGGAGGAUAAUGGUCUAACCUAUAGCCCAGAUCAUGUGCUAGCGACCAAUGGGGCUAAGCAAUGCACUACACACGCUGUUCUUGAUGUUCUCUCAUGUGGUGAUGAGGUCGGCACUGCUGUUGUCACCGGGCAGAAUGGCCGACUGGCCAUGGGCAGGCUCGGAGCCCUCUGCGAACAGGUGAAGAAGCUUAAUUUCCAGGGGUAUGAGGUGAUUCUGUUCGCCUCCGGCGCCGUUGGCAUCGGGAGGCAGAGGCUCAAGUACCGAAAGCUCAUCAACAGCCAUGUUGCAGAGAGUUUUUUCUCACAGCAGUUUACUGACGGUCAUUGCCUCUGGUUAUCGUCACUGCUUGUGUGCUGA
rnacentral:rRNA from 1 species